GGCCUCCGCAGCCUCGCUACUCACAAAUGGGCUGGGCCUAGCUCGGUCCGAGUCGCGCGAGUCCACCACAAGUCGCUUCUUCCUCCCACCGGCCACCACAGCCCACACAGACGCGGCAGAGAGAGAGAGAUCGGAGGGGGAUCGCCGGGCAGAGAUCGGCCGGAGAGGGAGGAGGAAGAUGAUACUCGCCGUGCUCUUCGCCAACUCCGAGGGAAACAUCCUCAUCGAGAGGUUCCAUGGCGUCCCGGCGGAGGAGCGGCUGCACUGGCGCUCCUUCCUCGUCAAGCUCGGCGCCGAGAACCUCAAGGGGGCCAAGUCCGAGGAGCUCCUCGUCGCCUCCCACAAGUCGGUCUCCAUUGUGUAUACCAUGAUCGGGGACAUCUGCCUGUACAUUGUCGGCAAGGAUGAAUAUGAUGAGCUUGCUCUGUCGGAGGUGAUCUUCGCUGUUACGUCGGCGGUGAAGGAUGUGUGUGCGAAACCACCCACCGAGCGCCUCUUCCUGGACAAGUACGGGAGGAUCUGCCUGUGCCUGGACGAGAUCGUUUGGCAGGGGUUGCUGGAGAACACGGAGAAGGACAGGGUUCGGAGGCUGAUCAGGCUCAAGCCCCCUGUGGAGCCAUGAUUUUUGCAGUUGAGAGAUGGAUCCUUCCUGUGUAUGUAUCGCUUUGCUAGAGCCUGGGUGGUGCUCACAAACACUUGGCACUUGUGUGAUUCUUUUGUCCAUGGAUGUACUGUGUACAACAAGUUGAUGGGAAUGUGAUUUGGUAUAUGCUUUCAG
rnacentral:rRNA from 1 species